UACGUAGGUGGCAAGCGUUGUCCGGAUUUACUGGGCGUAAAGGGCGUGCAGGCGGUUUGUUAAGUGCAGGGUGAAAGCUCCCGGCUCAACUGGGAGAGGUCCUUGCAUACUGGCAAACUCGAGGGAGGCAGAGGAAAGUGGAAUUCCCGGUGUAGUGGUGAUAUGCGUAGAUAUCGGGAGGAACACCUGUGGCGAAGGCGGCUUUCUGGGCCGAUACUGACGCUGAGGAGCGGAAAGCGUGGGGAGCGAACAGG
rnacentral:rRNA from 1 species